AACGAACGCUGGCGGCAUGCCUAACACAUGCAAGUCGAACGAGACCUUCGGGUCUAGUGGCGCACGGGUGCGUAACGCGUGGGAACCUGCCCUUAGGUUCGGAAUAACUCCCCGAAAGGGGUGCUAAUACCGGAUAAUGUCUUCGGACCAAAGAUUUAUCGCCUUUGGAUGGGCCCGCGUUGGAUUAGCUAGUUGGUAGGGUAAAAGCCUACCAAGGCGACGAUCCAUAGCUGGUCUGAGAGGAUGAUCAGCCACACUGGGACUGAGACACGGCCCAGACUCCUACGGGAGGCAGCAGUGGGGAAUGUUGGACUAUGGGCGAAAGCCUGAUCAAGCAAUGCCGCGUGAGUGAUGAAGGCCUUAGGGUUGUAAAGCUCUUUUACCCGGGAUGAUAAUGACAGUACCGGGAGAAUAAGCUCCGGCUAACUACGUG
rnacentral:rRNA from 1 species